rnacentral:tRNA from 1 species
GGCUUGUAGCUCAGUGGUAGAGUACUUGCCUUGCAUGCAUGAGGCCCUGGGUUCGAUCCUCAGCACCA